UAUUGCACAAUGGGGGAAACCCUGAUGCAGCAACGCCGCGUGGAGGAUGACGCAUUUCGGUGUGUAAACUCCUUUUAUAUAGGAAGAUAAUGACGGUACUAUAUGAAUAAGCACCGGCUAACUCCGUGCCAGCAGCCGCGGUAAUACGGAGGGUGCAAGCGUUACUCGGAAUCACUGGGCGUAAAGCGCGCGCAGGCGGCCUUUUAAGUUGGAUGUGAAAGCCUACGGCUCAACCGUAGAACUGCAUCCAAAACUACUAGGCUAGAGUGUGGGAGAGGAAGAUGGAAUUAGUUGUGUAGGGGUAAAAUCCGUAGAGAUAACUAGGAAUACCAAAAGCGAAGGCAAUCUUCUGGAACAUUGCUGACGCUGAGGCGCGAAAGCGUGGGGAGCAAACAGG
rnacentral:rRNA from 1 species